rnacentral:lncRNA from 1 species
CGUGCUUGCAUUUCCUAUCAUGAUUUUCUUGAAAGAGGGUUACUGCUCACAAGGAAGCUAUUAAACCAAGAGUUCCAAAUGGUGAAGUUGAAAUCAUCCCUUCGUAAAUUUUACGGACGCCAUCACGAGUUGGUUGACCGUUAUGGAAUAACCGUUUCACAAAUGAUAUCGGAUAUGUUCCUUACGUCGUAACUACAAACCCCUUCCCUUUCAUGAAUGUGACCUACCGAAUUAGACUAUUUACCGGAUUUGUAAUCACAUAAGCAACACGACGGGUGCCACAUGUGGAGCAGGAUCUGCUUACCGUUCCGGAGCCCCUGAGAUCACCCCU